rnacentral:rRNA from 1 species
AUUGAACGCUGGCGGCAGGCCUAACACAUGCAAGUCGAGCGGAGCGGCGGACGGGUGAGUAAUUCCUAGGAAUCUGCCCGGUAGUUGGGGCUAACGUCCGGAAACGGGCGCUAAUACCGCACACUAACAGAUGAUCCUAGGUUGGAUUUGCUAGUUGGAUGGGUAAAUGCCUACCAAGGCGACGAUCCGUAACUGGUCUGAGAGGAUGAUCAGUCACACUGGAAAUUAGACACGGUCCAGACUCCUACGGGAGGCAGCAGUGGGGAAUAUUGGACAAUGGGCGAAAGCCUGAUCCAGCCAUGCCGCGUGUGUGAAGAAGGUCUUCGGAUUGUAAAGCACUGUAAGUUGGGAGGCGUUACCAACAGAAUAAGCACCGGCUAACUUCGUGCCAGCAGCCGCGGUAAUAC